rnacentral:rRNA from 1 species
ACUCAAAUGAAUUGACGGGGACCCGCACAAGCAGAGGAUGAUGUGGUUUAAUUCGAUGCUACGCGUAGAACCUUACCCAGGUUUGACAUCCCAGGAAUCCGCUGGAAACAGUGGAGUGCCUUCGGGAACCUGGUGACAGAUGCUGCAUGGCCGUCGUCAGCUCGUGUCGUGAGAUGUUGGGUUAAGUCCCGCAACGAGCGCAACCCCUAUCGUAUGUUGUAUUUUUCAUACGAGACUGCCCGGGCCAACCGGGAGGAAGGUGGGGACGAAGUCAGGUCUGCAUGGCUCUUACACCUGGGGCUACACACGUCAUACAAUGGCCAGUACAACGCGUUGCCAAAUCGUGAGAUGGAGCUAAUCGCACCAAAACUGGUCCCAGUUCGGAUUGUAGGCUGCAACUCGCCUACAUGAAGUCGGAUUUGCUAGUAAACGUGGGUCAGCAUACCACGUUGAAUACGUUCCCGGGUCUUGCACACACCGCCCGU